UACGGAGGGUGCGAGCGUUAGGCGGAAUCACUGGGCUUAAAGCGUGUGUAGGCGGAUGUCUAAGUACCUUGUGAAAUCCCACGGCUCAACCGUGGAACUGCUUGGUAUACUGGAUGUCUUGAGCCAUCUAGGGGCUACCGGAACAAAUGGUGGAGCGGUGAAAUGCGUAGAUAUCAUUUGGAACGCCAAUGGUGAAAACAGGUAGCUGGGGAUGUGCUGACGCUGAGGAGCGAAAGCGUGGGGAGCGAACAGG
rnacentral:rRNA from 1 species